UUGAAAUUUCAGAUUUCUGGACC
rnacentral:piRNA from 1 species